AUUGAACGCUGGCGGCAGGCCUAACACACGCAAGUCGAACGGUAACAGGAAGCAGCUUGCUGCUUCGCUGACGAGUGGCGGACGGGUGAGUAAUGUCUGGGAAGCUGCCUGAUGGAGGGGGAUAACUACUGGAAACGGUAGCUAAUACCGCAUAAUGUCGCAAGACCAAAGAGGGGGACCUUCGGGCCUCUUGCCAUCGGAUGUGCCCAGAUGGGAUUAGCUUGUUGGUGGGGUAACGGCUCACCAAGGCGACGAUCCCUAGCUGGUCUGAGAGGAUGACCAGCCACACUGGAACUGAGACACGGUCCAGACUCCUACGGGAGGCAGCAGUGGGGAAUAUUGCACAAUGGGCGCAAGCCUGAUGCAGCCAUGCCGCGUGUAUGAAGAAGGCCUUCGGGUUGUAAAGUACUUUCAGCGGGGAGGAAGGGAGUAAAGUUAAUACCUUUGCUCAUUGACGUUACCCGCAGAAGAAGCACCGGCUAACUCCGUGCCAGCAGCCGCGGUAAUACGGAGGGUGCAAGCGUUAAUCGGAAUUACUGGGCGUAAAGCGCACGCAGGCGGUUUGUUAAGUCAGAUGUGAAAUCCCCGGGCUCAACCUGGGAACUGCAUCUGAUACUGGCAAGCUUGAGUCUCGUAGAGGGGGGUAGAAUUCCAGGUGUAGCGGUGAAAUGCGUAGAGAUCUGGAGGAAUACCGGUGGCGAAGGCGGCCCCCUGGACGAAGACUGACG
rnacentral:rRNA from 1 species